rnacentral:misc_RNA from 1 species
AUUAUUAAUUUUAUAUCUGAUGAUAAUAUGAUGAGGAAGGAUAACUAACUGAAAAUGUCGACAUGUCUGCGAGUAUGUGGGGCUUAUUCAUUUCGACUAACAAGAAGGCAUUCAACUAUUCUACUUAUAGCUUUAUUUAUAGUAAUUUUGACAGUCACACUUCAGCUUUAUGCCUACAAAAAUCAAGCGAUGCCAAAUUUUUCACCAAAAGUCGGAGAUUUCGAUUAUAUACCAG